rnacentral:rRNA from 1 species
AACGAACGCUGGCGGCAUGCCUAACACAUGCAAGUCGAACGAGACCUUCGGGUAUAGUGGCGCACGGGUGCGUAACGCGUGGGAACCUUCCCUUAGGUUCGGAAUAACUCCCCGAAAGGGGUGCUAAUACCGGAUAAUUUCUUCGGACCAAAGAUUUAUCGCCUUUGGAUGGGCCCGCGUUGGAUUAGCUAGUUGGUAGGGUAAAAGCCUACCAAGGCGACGUUCCAUAGCUGGUCUGAGAGGAUGACCAGCCACCCUGGGACUGAGACACGGCCCAGACUCCUACGGGAGGCAGCAGUGGGGAAUAUUGGACAAUGGGCGAAAGCCUGAUCCAGCAAUGCCGCGUGAGUGAUGAAGGCCUUAGGGUUGUAAAGCUCUUUUAAACGGGAUGAUAAUGACAGUACCGGGAGAAUAAGCGCCGGCUAACUCCGUG